rnacentral:rRNA from 1 species
CCUACGGGCGGCAGCAGUGAGGAAUAUUGGUCAAUGGGCGCGAGCCUGAACCAGCCAAGUAGCGUGAAGGAUGACUGCCCUACGGGUUGUAAACUUCUUUUAUAAAGGAAUAAAGUGAGGCACGUGUGCCUUUUUAUAUGUACUUUAUGAAUAAGGAUCGGCUAACUCCGUGCCCGCAGCCGCGCUAAUACGGAGGAUCCGAGCGUUAUCCGGAUUUAUUGGGGUUAAAGGGAGCGUAGAUGGGUCGUUAAGUCAGAUGUGAAAGUUUGCGGCUCAACCGUAAAAUUGCAAUUGAAACUGGCAGUCUUGAGAACAGGUGAGGUAGGCGGAAUUCGUGGUGUAGCGGUGAAAUGCUUAGAUAUCGCGCAGAACUCCGAUUGCGAAGGCAGCAUACUAACGGGCCUCUGACAUUGAUGCACGAAAGCGUGGGUAUCGAACAGGAUUAGAUACCCGAGUAGUC